rnacentral:rRNA from 1 species
GUGCCAGCCGCCGCGGUAAGACGUAGGGCGCGAGCGUUGUCCGGAUUUAUUGGGCGUAAAGAGCUCGUAGGCGGCUUGUCGCGUCGUCCGUGAAAACCCACAGCUCAACUGUGGGCUUGCGGUCGAUACGGGCAGGCUAGAGUUCGGUAGGGGAGACUGGAAUUCCUGGUGUAGCGGUGAAAUGCGCAGAUAUCAGGAGGAACACCGGUGGCGAAGGCGGGUCUCUGGGCCGAUACUGACGCUGAGGAGCGAAAGCGUGGGGAGCGAACAGGAUUAGAUACCCUUGUAGUCC